AGUGAUAUUCUUCUGGGUGGAUGCUCCGUGGUCCCGAACCAGUGAGCAAAUGUGUGUCAGAUAAAUGACUGUAAAAAAAACGUAGGAGGCUUGAAGACAUUUGGAAGUAAGAGACACUUCGCCAUGACUGAAACCUUGGAAAGCCAGACAUGUGAAAGCUAACAGAAUGGCUACCUCAGAUGUCUUUGUGCCAGAAGGACUUCUACGGGGUUAACAGGCACAGACCCCUGGAUGGGUUUAAUGUCUUAGUAUCAUAAUUACAGGAAACAAAUCCGCUGAGGUCUUGAUUCAGUUUGGCCUCUCUAAUUCUACACAACGUGGUUUCCUUGUUGAAGCUCACAGUAGCACCGUGAGGUAGCUGCUGUGUCCAUUUCAAAGGGAAGUCACAAAACCAGGCUUGGUGGCACAUGUCUGAAGUCCCAGCACUCGGGAAGAUCAGAAGUUCAAGGCCAUCCUGAGAUGCCCAAGCCCCUGUCUAUAGGAGGAGGAAGUCUUGCUGGGCUAGAAAUGCAGAUCGGUUGGCAGAAUGCUUGCCUGGCAUGUAUAGCACCCAGGUUCAACCCCCAGGCUGCAUAAAAACGGGAUGUGGUGGUGUGGGGCCAUGGUAGCAGGAGGGUAAGUUGUAGGCUAGCUUUGGCUACACAGGGAGUUUGAGGCCAACUGGGGGUCCAUAGUGAGUCAAGGCCAGUCUGGGCCACAAAUCGUCUGGUUUCCAGGUAAUAAAUAUAAAAGGGAGGAUACUGGUUAGAGGAGGUAGGGCCUUGCCCACGGGUACCCAGCAGUGAGUGGCAACACUCAGAGGCCCAUACCUACAACUGCUUUUUACCAGCCAGCUGUGCUUGUAAUCCUUUUAUCACUGCUUUGAUUUGCUUCUAUAAGCAAGGCUAUGAGGCCAUCUGACUCUCUGUUUGUGUGUGCUACCCAGCUUUACAGGCUGGUCCAGAGCUCUGGCAGUCCCACAUGGCUCCUCUGCCAUACACCCACCUCCCACACAAUGCUGACACCAACAAAAUCAUCAGAUGGAUCUUCAGCGGCUGGAAACUGCCCGGGAACUGUGAGAGGCACCCAGCAGGCAUCUUUUGGCACAGGACUUCCAUCUGGGAGACAAGCUAGGCAUUGAUUCCCAGAUGACCCUGGGCACCAGAGGAGAAAGGAGGAACUAAGCACCAGAGACCUCAAUGAUUGGACAAGAACUGGCAAAGAAGAGCUAGGAAGACCAUACAAUAUGGCGGCCGGCGAGGCACCCCGAGGGUAGAUCUAGACGUGUGAUGACAGCUGUCGGGGGCUGGGUCGUUUGCCCAGCCUCCUCAAAACUUCAUUUUCUGGCACGUAAGAAAGAAUAGUAAGAGAGCCCCCCUUCUUCCGUCCUAGUUCGCUUCCGGAUGCUACGAUAAACACUGCGACCAAAAUCAGCUUUGGGGAGGGAAGGGUUGGGCGCACCGGUUACAGGCCACCACUGGGGAAAACCGAGGCAGGACCUGGAGCAGAGAACACAGAGAAAUCCCGCCUACUGGCUCGCUCAGCUUGCUUUCUGAUACAAGCCAGGACCGUUUUCCCGGAGAGGGGGGGUACUGCCCACAGUGGGCUGGGCCCUCUCAAAUCAAUUAUCCAUCAAGAAAAUGCCCCCACACUUGCCAACAGGCCAGGCUGAUGGAGGUGAGCCUCUGCUCACGUGACUCUAGUCACCCUCCUAAAUAGCAGUGGUUCUCAAUCUGUGGUUCGGGACCCCUGCGGGGGCCGCAUAGCAGAUGUUUACGUUAGGAUUCGUAACAGUAGCAAAAUCACAGUUAUGAAGUCGCAACAGAGUAACGUUGUGGUUGUGGGGGUCCACCACAACAUGAGGAACUGCAUCAAAGGGUCGCAGCGUUAAGAAGGUUGAGAACCACUGCCCUGCGGGGUGACUGAGUCACUUGACUCAUGUCGGGGACAUGCCCCAUCAGUGCAGACAAGCCUGUGGCAUGGCUGAAUAGGGGUUACAAAGACCCAGAGACCCCGGCUGGGGUGUAACUCAGUGGGCAGAGUGCUUACCCAGCAUGCAGAAAGCCCUAGACUGGACUCCCCCAGCGCUGACUGGUGGCACACACCUGUCAUCUCAGCACUCCAGCAGUGGAGGCAGGAGAAUCAGAAGUUCAAGUUCAUUCCCUUUUAAAAAGCAAGUAAGUUCACCACCAGCUUGGGACAGAUGAGCCCCCCCCCCCCACCGUCUCUAAAACAUAAAAACAAAACUACAGAUGCACAACUCCUUCACUAAGUGUGACGAGAGAUGCAGAAAGACCACAUUACCAUGCCCGCUGCCUUGUCAGCCCUGAGGGCUGCCACGCUCAUUUGGAGAUGCUUCCAGGAAGCACACAGUGCUGCCCCAUUAGAUCUAGAGGUGGGAUUCGGUGAGAAUAGAGCAAAGAUGUGCUCCCAUGGAGGACGAACGUGUGCUAGGUACUAACACUUGCCAGGCAGGAAGACAGGCGCUAACACAGGCUGACAAAAGCCGCUGACUGGGCAGGGCGCUCACCUGGACAGCCACCAAGGGGUAGACUGUCACUGUGGAGGUGUGAAGGCCGCCACCAGCCCCAGUGUUUGGUGCAAAUGCAGGAGGGCUCUGGGGUAGGACCAAAUAAGCCCUCAGGAGGCCAGCAGAUGUUUCUGACCUCUGAUUGUGCACUGCUUGGAGAUGGAGAAGGCUUAGUUUCCUGUGAGCCCCGGGAAGGGACAGGGCUCCAGGGAGCCAAACUGGAGGCCCCAGGUCCACACUACACCAGAUGUUGGGAAGCCCAGAGGAACUGCCAUAGGCAUGUUCUGGGAAUGGAGAUCUGGUUGUCAAUCUCAGGAAUCGUUUUGUUUGGGCUUUUUUCUCUCCCUAUGACAUGAAAAUCCGAAAGAAUCCACAUAUGGUUGGAAAUCAUCAGGUCUGGAAAAUUAAGGGCUGAGCCUCUGAUUUCAGUGGCAUGAAACUCACUGGAGCAAACUGGAGGAACCCCGAGGACAGGUCAGCUAACUUAGACACCAGCCACGGAGCACAAGUUUGUUAGAGACCACCGCACCCGCCCCUUCCCUCGGGCCUUACUGGUCACUCAGAACCCCUUUUUCUCCUGAGGCUGAGAGUCCAGGACAAGGCUUGUCCUGGUGUGACUAACAUACUGUCAGGGCCUGUCUGACACAGAGACCGGUUGGGACAUCCAAGGAACACUUGCUGAAGGAAUGAUAAGUCACUAAAAUAUAAUAUAUGUCACAAGACACACCAAAGCUAGUCAUUUAUAACUGUAAAGAAAGUCGUUUUCUAAAGUAUUUAAAUUUUGGCAUUGUAAUUUCAUAUUACACUUGAUUUGCUGUUUUAUAGUGUCUUUAUUAUCUUUCUAUUUAUUUAUCUAUCUAUCUAUUUAUUUAUUGCUGGUUUUGUUUUG